CAAGACAACUUUACGGAGUUGACGAUUGACGGAGCGAAGCGACGUCAAAGCGUUCAUUAAAGUCGAGUUGGCUUAGGGAUACGUUCGUUGGGUAGGGGAGCGUUCUGUAAGCCUGUGAAGGUGUGUCGUGAGGCAUGCUGGAGGUAUCAGAAGUGCGAAUGCUGACAUAAGUAACGAUAAAGCGGGUGAAAAGCCCGCUCGCCGGAAGACCAAGGGUUCCUGUCCAACGUUAAUCGGGGCAGGGUGAGUCGACCCCUAAGGCGAGGCCGAAAGGCGUAGUCGAUGGGAAACGGGUUAAUAUUCCCGUACUUGGUGUUACUGCGAAGGGGGGACGGAGAAGGCUAUGUUGGCCGGGCGACGGUUGUCCCGGUUUAAGCGUGUAGGCUGGUUUUCCAGGCAAAUCCGGAAAAUCAAGGCUGAGGCGUGACGACGAGGCACUACGGUGCUGAAGCAACAAAUGCCCUGCUUCCAGGAAAAGCCUCUAAGCAUCAGGUAACAUCAAAUCGUACCCCAAACCGACACAGGUGGUCAGGUAGAGAAUACCAAGGCGCUUGAGAGAACUCGGGUGAAGGAACUAGGCAAAAUGGUGCCGUAACUUCGGGAGAAGGCACGCUGACAUGUAGGUGAAGUGAUUUACUCAUGGAGCUGAAGUCAGUCGAAGAUACCAGCUGGCUGCAACUGUUUAUUAAAAACACAGCACUGUGCAAACACGAAAGUGGACGUAUACGGUGUGACGCCUGCCCGGUGCCGGAAGGUUAAUUGAUGGGGUCAGCGCAAGCGAAGCUCCUGAUCGAAGCCCCGGUAAACGGCGGCCGUAACUAUAACGGUCCUAAGGUAGCGAAAUUCCUUGUCGGGUAAGUUCCGACCUGCACGAAUGGCGUAAUGAUGGCCAGGCUGUCUCCACCCGAGACUCAGUGAAAUUGAACUCGCUGUGAAGAUGCAGUGUACCCGCGGCAAGACGGAAAGACCCCGUGAACCUUUACUAUAGCUUGACACUGAACAUUGAGCCUUGAUGUGUAG
rnacentral:rRNA from 1 species